rnacentral:pre_miRNA from 1 species
UCUCCUUAAGGGGUCUCUGCCUCUACCCAGGACUUUUUCAUGACCAGGAGGCUGAGGCCCUUCAUAGGCGGC